rnacentral:misc_RNA from 1 species
GAUGAAGAACGCAGUGAAAUGCGAUAAGUAAUGUGAAUUGCAGAAUUCAGUGAAUCAUCGAAUCUUUGAACGCAUCUUGCGCUCCUUGGUAUUCCAUGGAGCAUGCCUGUUUGAGUGUCACGUAAACCCUCACCCUUGCGAUGUCAAAGUCGUCUGUGGUGGAUUUGGACUGUGCCGUAAUUGGCUCGUCCUGAAAUGCAUUAGCUUGCGCUUUUUAGAGUGCUCGGCAUGGUGUGAUAAUUAUCUGCGCCGUCGCCUUAGGCCUCUUCUGUGUGCGCUGCUUCGAAUCGUCCCUCGUGGACAACAUAUUUCAAGCUUUGGCCUCAAAUCAGGUAGGACUACCCGCUGAACUUAAGCAUAUCAAUAAGCGGAGGA